UCUUACCUAGCCAUAUGGCCUGCUGCCUCUGCCAAUUUAAAAAUAGCAUUGAGGUUGUCUGCAAGACAGUCAAGCUGCAUUGCAACAGUGCAUAAGCAUCUAUAGGGAAUCCCGAAGGAGCGUUCAUGAAGGUGUUACAAGCCCGGAAGAAGCACACGAGCACUGAGCUGACUAUUGAGCCGGAGACGCCCUCAGACAGCAACGGCAUCAACUUGUCAGGCUUUGGGAGUGCGCAGCUAGACAUCAAUGAUGAAAGUGAUGUUAUCAGUGCACUAAAUUAUAUCUUGCCUUAUUUCUCAGCGGGAAAUCUAGAAGAUGUGGAGGCAAUGUUGUUACCAUUCAUUAAACUGCUUUUUUCAGAUUCACAAGAUGGCGACAGGCCCCUGGGUAUUUUGAAAAACAAUGCAAAGAGUCCCUCUCUUCAACCUGCAUCCAACAACUCAACUUACGAAAAUAAAUUGAGAAAGCUGUAUUCUCUGGAAAAUGUGAUAGAUGCAGAAAUUCAAGAAAAAAUCGAUGAGGUUAAAAGGGAAGAAAAAAAUGCCAUGCUUGUGCAGUCCAGUGUUUUAGGUCCCAAAUUUAAACGGCAAAUUUUUCGGACAAAAUUAGAAACUGCCCAACCACAGGAAAACAGCCUGGCAAAGAUUCAAAGUGUAGGCAAAAGCCUGCAGAGAGCAAACAGAGUCCUCAUGGGCCCAAGGAGCAUCCAGAAAAGACGCUUCAAAGAGGGGGGAAAGCAGAGCAUCUGGAGGGAACAGAGUGCCCAGGCAUUUGUGGAAAACACUGCCAAAGGAAAAAGGCCUGGGAGUGCAGCCCCAAGGGAGCUGGAACAGCCUCACGUGGUGCACAGGCCCAAGAAGUUAGUGGGAAACACUAUCUACACCAAGCCUUUGUUCACCCAAGAACAUAAGACAGCGGUGUCCUCUUUGCUGAAACCCUUCUCCAUGGGCGGGCCUUCCGCCUCCACCCCUGGAAAAGCCCAACGUGAAGUAAGAAACCUAGAGAAAGACUUAACCUACGCCAUUUUCAUUUUAGAAAAUGCAAAGGCUAGAGUUAAAAAUAUGAAGGCUGCUAAACAAACCACAAAUUCCAGAAAAAAAUACCACUUUCAUAAAACUAGCUCCCAUGUGGUCCACAGAACACCCAAGGCCAAAAAGAGUCGAAAGUUCAGAAAGAAAAGUUCUCUCAACAGACUGAUGCUGGCAAAGAAGCCUCUGUUCUCUGCAGCAAAGAGCCUCAUAAAUUCCCCUUCAGAAGGGGCUUUUUCCUCUUUAGGAGACAGUAUUCAAAAAAAUUCUUUUCCAGAGGUAUUUGCUCCUUCAGAACAUUUUAUGGAAAACACCACUGCAGGAAAUGCCUUUGAUGAAAACAUUUUUGUGGGAAACACUGCUAUGCCAGAAGGCACCAUCUCUGAAAACACAACCUACAAAAAUCCUCCUGAGGCAGAUUCCGCUGGGACUGCGUUCAACUUAGAGCCAACUGUUAAACAAACCAAUGGAGCACAAUGGGAAUACAAUGACCUGGGCACUGACCUGUUCCCCAAGCCCAAAAACUUCAAUUACCCAUUGCUCUCGUCCCCAGGUGAUCAGUUUGAAAUUCAGCUAAACCAGCAGCUACGGUCCCUCAUCCCUGACAACAAUGUGAGAAGGCUCAUAUCUCAUGUUAUCCGGACCUUGAAGAUGGACUGCUCUGAGACCCAAGUGCAAUUAGCCUGUGCUAAGCUGAUCUCCGGGACAGGCCUCCUGAUGAAACUUCUCAGUGAACAGCAAGAAGAAAAGGUGUCCAAGGCAGAAUGGGAUACAGACCAGUGGAAAACUGAGAACUAUAUCAAUGAGAGCACGGAAGCCCAGAGUGAACAGAAACAGCAGAAGUCAAGUGAGGUGAGGACCACACAAAAAGAUGAGACCCGGACUUUCCCAUCAUUUAGCAUAUGUCGGGAAAGUGCCAACACAAGAGAACCUGGGCUCGUGGGCCAUAGCUUGUCUUGGCCGUGUAACUUUGGCCAGGUGGCUCAUGCCUGUAAUCCCAGCACUUUGGGAGGCUAAGGUGGGUGGAUCACUUGAGGUCA